ensembl:lncRNA LINC01205 long intergenic non-protein coding RNA 1205
AGAGGCAGCGCUGGCGUUGGAGAGUGAUGGCGGCAUGGCGGUGCGGCGGCGGCUGCGAACACCUUGAGGACGGGUCGCAUUAUGUUGCCCAGGCUGGACUUGAACUUCUGGGCUCGAGCAAUUCUCCCACCUCAGCCUACCAAGCAGCUGGGACUACAGGUCUGCACCACUGCACCCCACCCAUUCAAGUCCACAUCCCCAGAAACGAGGAUAAUGCUUGGCACAAGUUGCUUUCCUAAAGCCUCAAGAACAGUGUGGAUUAAAGUGAUUCAUAUUUUGAAUUCUCUCCCAAGCUGUCUUUGCUGUGUUCCUACUUGUCACAAACUCCAGAGGGGAAAAGGUUUUAUGCUACUUGAAAUCUAACAAUGUAGCUGCCACAGUUUCAAAGAUGUUGCCAGAAGACACAAAACCCCUGGGUCAGAGACAAAGAAUAUUACUAUGCAUGGUACAAGAGGGAGAUUAAUGUUCACAUGGUUCUCUUGACCCUCAAGUGCCAUGAGGAUGAUGCGGAGGAAGACUCGGGUGGAUGCUGUGCACACAGUGAAUCUGUGUUUCAGCUUAGGAGCUGUUCUAAAAAGUAGGCUGCUAGCAAACUUGUCCAAACUUUGCCCUGGAGAAGAUGUUAUCUUUAUUGUUCUGCGCAGGGAAACAGAUCUGCACUUUGCCCCACAGAGAGAAACUAUGUAUCUUCUAAGGUUGUUUGCUAUAUAAAUAUUUUGGAAAGAUAGUCCAGUAAAAGAGUUGAUUCAAGUCAUCCAUAAUACCUCUUAUGGAGAAAUGUCUCUCAACAACACUAACCAUCUUUCAGUUUCUGUAAUGGCCUAUGCCCACUCUGAGUGCUGCUGUAUUUGCUAUUUUUCUUUUGGAAACAUUUUCCCCGGCUUUCUCUGUCUCAUCUAAUUAACUUCUCAUCAUUCUUUAAAUGUAUUUUUUUUUUCAGUUCCUCAGAUUAAGUUGGAUUCCCCCAUAGGUUGCUAUUUAUUCCAUUAAGAGGAUUUAUUGGCUUGAUGUGGUGGCUCAUGGCUGUAAUCCCAGCACUUUGGGAGGCCGAGGCAGGUGAAGCACAAGGUCAGGAGUUCAAGACCAGCCUGGCCAAGAUGUUGAAACCCUGUCUCUACUAAAACUACAAAAACUAGCCAGGGGCAGUGGCAGGUGCCUGUAAUCCCACCUACUCGGGAGGCUGAAGCAGGAGAAUUGCUUGAACCCUGGGCGGCAGAGGUUGCAGUGAGCUGAGAUCACGCCACCACACUCCAGCCUGGGCGACAGACUGAGAUUCUCAUCCAGAGUCAAAUUUUCAAAAAAAAAAAAAAAAAAAAA